UGAACGCUGGCGGCGUGCUUACCACAUGCACGUCGAACGAUGAAGCCCAGCUUGCUGGGUGGAUUAGUGGCGAACGGGUGAGUAACACGUGAGUAACCUGCCCUUAACUCUGGGAUAAGCCUGGGAAACUGGGUCUAAUACCGGAUAGGAGCGUCCACCGCAUGGUGGGUGUUGGAAAGAUUUAUCGGUUUUGGAUGGACUCGCGGCCUAUCAGCUUGUUGGUGAGGUAAUGGCUCACCAAGGCGACGACGGGUAGCCGGCCUGAGAGGGUGACCGGCCACACUGGGACUGAGACACGGCCCAGACUCCUACGGGAGGCAGCAGUGGGGAAUAUUGCACAAUGGGCGCAAGCCUGAUGCAGCGACGCCGCGUGAGGGAUGACGGCCUUCGGGUUGUAAACCUCUUUCAGUAGGGAAGAAGCGAAAGUGACGGUACCUGCAGAAGAAGCACCGGCUAACUACGUG
rnacentral:rRNA from 1 species